rnacentral:lncRNA from 1 species
UUUUUGGGUCUUUCUAGGGCCAUAUCUGAGGCAUAUGGAGGUUCCCGGGCUAGGGGUCGAAUCAGAGGUACAGCUGCCAGCCUACACCACAGCCACAGCAACUCGGGAUCCCCACCCACUGAAUAAGGCCAGGGAUUGAACCCACAUCCUCAUGGAUACCAGUCAGAUUCGUUUCGGCUGUGCCACGACAGCAUCGGAACUCCCCCUAUUGGGUUUCUGAUAGUUUCUUCAUCUUGGAAUAAGCCCUUCCGGGACAUAGUCUGGGAUGACUUACUGGGGGAUGACAUUUUUGUCUUUUCCUUUAGAUCUAUCUGUCCCCUUGCCUCUACACGCUGCACUCCUAGGACCAGCAAACACCCAGAGACCAAACUCUCCCUCAGAACUUGAUAUCCUUGCCAUACCCAAUGCCGGGAGUCUCUUAAUCGGAUAGAAAUCCCUGGUGAAAGACUUCAUACUCCAGUGUUAGGGAAUGGUCUCCCCUUUGCAUAAAAAAAGGUACAAUUAGAUAGAAAAAAAUAGACAAUGUUUAGAUUACUCGCUUACCAAAAGCCAUGAAGAAAAAAGACAUCAGAAGUCUUACUGAAAAGAGAUCCCUGCAGAAAAAUGUAACUGAUGUGUGUUUAUGGUUCAGUAAACAGUCAAUUCCUUAUUCCAUUACAGGGAUAUGUACAAUGUUUAAAGUCUCCAUUUGUACCCAUUCUCUUUAUCCUCUUAUUGCAUCAUGGAGUCAGCUUGGGGCCACCAAGAAAAAGUCCACCUUUCAACACUCGCAAGGCCAUCUCCAACCUACCUUUUAAUCCUCUCACUGUGCUUUACUUCACACCUUUAUUUUAACACUUAUCACCUCAUUAUGCAUGAAUCAUCUGACUCCCUCCACCACUAAGACGCUUGAGUGCUUCAAGGAUAGAAACCACUUAAAUUUUCAUUGUACGCCUUCUACUUCUUAAAUGUUUGUGGAAUGAACAGACCUAAAAAGAAUCAAGGGUUUGAUUCCACCUAAAUGACAACCCUCCAAGUUGGAAAGUAACUGCUCAUUCUUUAUCCUGACAAUUUUUCCAGAACCCCCAAGUGGCUGAUUCCUAUUUGGAGAACAUGUUAGAUGCCUCUGGAAAAUGCAGUCAUCCUCCUGCCAAGGCAGUCUAAUAUCCUGAGCUAAGGAUGAUGUCCUGGUUCCACCAUGGUGGGGAUUCUGCUAGAGAAAAGGAUCUUGGAGUUAAGGUGAUGCUGAAACGGUGCUAUUUCAAGAACUGCAGGUCCUAUAUUUGGUGAUGACAAAUGGAACUGAACUUCCCAGUCCACUGCCCUCUUUGCGUGGGCUAUCACUUUUAAGAAGCCUUGCCAUCACGCAGAUGGUAGGCAAGUAUGAACCCGGAACGUGCCUCAGCCUGGGGCUUCAAGUGUUACCUGGAUUAUGUCCACAAAGAGGAGGAAAGUACUCCAUGCCUGAGUUUGAGACAUGUCCAUGAGCACUCCACACAGUUCUCAGGAAAUCUGGGGUUGGGGGUGGGGAGUGGGUAUCAAGAUGGUCUAAUCCUCAAACACUCAUUAAAGAAAAACCUGUGACUAGAAAUUGAACUGACUUUGGCCCCAUAUAACCUGGAUCAUGUGGACAAAGAAUGCCAGUUGUGGGAUUAAACUGUCGGAGCUCAUGUGGUUAAGAUGAGGACAGUCCAAAGGGAAAGUACAGCUGUGUAUUAUGAUGGUCUCUGCAAUGGACUGUGUCACCCCUACCCCCACCCCUCUCUAAUUGAUAUAUUGAAGCCUUAACCCUCCAGUGUGACGGUAUCAGGAAGGGGCCUUUGGGAGAUAGCCAGGUCUUGAGGGUAAAGCCCCCAUGAUGGGGUCAGUCCCUUUUAGGGAACCCAGGAAGCUCUCUCACCCUCUGUCCACCACGGAAGGAUGCAAUGAAAAAUGGCUUUGCCACCAAGAAGGAGGCUCUCAUCAGAAUGCAACCAUGCAGGCAUCCUUCAGUCUCUGGAACUAUGAGGAAUGAAGUGUUGCUUUUUUAUUUAUUUAUUUAUUUAUUUAAUUUUAUUUUAGGGCCGCAUCCACAGCAUAUGGAAGUUCCCAGGCUAGGGAUUAAAUCGGAGCUGUAGCUGCCGGCCUACACCAGAGUCCCAGCAAUGCAGGAUCCAAGCCACUUCUGUGACCUACACCACAGCUCACGGCAAGGCCAGAUCCUUAACCCACUGAGUGAGGCCAGGGGUUGAACCUGUAUCCUUGUGGAUGCUAGUCAGAUUUGUUAACAACUGAGCCACAAUGGGAACUAGUGCUGCUUUUUAACAGCUACUAAGUCUGUGAAACUCUGUUACAGCCGUAUGGAUGGACUAAUAAGGCUUAUCCAGGCUACAGGGCCCAGGGUGUACUUUGCAGAGGGGGGGCAAGAGCUUGUACUCAGAGACGUGAAUGCCUAUGCUCCAUCAUCCAGAGGCAGAAAAGGAGCUAAGCUUCUGACUGGGAAGGGAUUCCUCCUCCUCAGUGGCACAAGGACACAUGGGUGCAGUCAGGAGGUAAAUGGCAUCGCCAGGACCCAUCCCACCUGGGGAUGCUGUGGUCCUCAGCUGCUGUAUCCCAACACAAGGCUAUGGAGAACUGGCCUGGGACCCACGAAUGGCUAGCAGUCAGCUUUGAGAGCAGCUGUACACCCCGUCCUCAUGGAGUUUUCCAAGUCUAAACAAUGAUCAACGUUAUGGUAACAGAAGGUGGGGUCCUGUCCACUACCUGGAGUGGCCCAGAUCGCAAAUGAUGCUGGGCAUAUCAGCAUCAACAGAGACCUGGGGACCAGAGGGGUCUAAGGGCAAGUGAUGGAGGACGCACUGUAUGGCCCAUAUCCAGCUCUCCAUAACGCACAGACUAACCCUGAGUGGACUGACCUCCAGCAGCUAAGAAGAGGGAAGUCUUCUGCUGGGAUGUGCUGAACAUAGAAAGCAGCAGAAUUUGAGCUACUGGUGAAGGUGACAGUAUUACCUGUAUCUCUCUAUCUUCAGGCUUGAAGACAAAGACUUUUACAUUACGGCUGCUGGGAUUUAGAAUUACUUUAAGUAUAUGAAAUAAUAGUCUAUUAUCUCUGAGGAGUUAUUCUAAGGAAAUAAUUCAGCUCCUGGAAAUUGCGAGGCUCUCCUCAGCCCAGAAAAAAAAUUUGCUUACAAACGUUUUCUUUUCUUAGGGACAAAACUAUUUUGUAGCCAAGGUUCUCUCUUAUAUAUAAGCAUUUAAAUAAGAAGUUUUAGGUUAAAGUGGAUCCUGACUAUUUUCCUUGUGCUUAUGUUAAUAGUGGGCUAAGCAAACAAUUACUGCAUUGCUCAGUCUUCAGGUUGAAACAGCAGAUGUAACACUGGAAAGGAAGGGAUUCCCUUCGGCUUCUGAUAUAAUAAUGCAAGGUAGAAAAUUGCUUUUCUUUAAUGUAGCCCCAAAUACUAUAUAUCAACAUAUUAUCAAGUGAAAGAAUCUUUUAUGUUGCACUUUGAGAAAUUUUUAAUAUUCAUGCAGAAAUAAAAAAUGCUUAGAGUUAGAAAAAGAUAGAUGUAACAUAAAAAAUUUCUCCAGGAUGCAGCACAGUUUCCAAGUGUCAUUAAAAUGACAAAGCAGGUAAUACUGAUCUUAGAAUUGAAGAGAAGUAAGGGAAAUAUCAUGGUUAGAGGGGGCGACGUUAACAUGAUAUUAACACCAUUUUGCCUUUAAGGCAGGUAACUUAUUGAUAUCUCUAGAUUUUUUUUUUUAAAGACAAAACCAAUCAACUGCUUCCAAACACAAAAGAGCACUAUGAAGAUCCAACAACUAAAUGUUAAUAAAAAAGACGACAUUUCCCCUAACUCUAAAGUCUGGCAUUCUGUUGGUUUCCCUAAGGCACUGCAUCAGUGAACAGAUUUGAGUUUUAUUGGCUAAAGGGAACUAUUCUCUGUAAAUACAGGCAUUUAAACUUAUAAAAGGUACUUAGAAAACAGAGAAAGGAUGCCCCAAAUUACACGCAUUGUGGAACUAUUAAAAAAAAAAAAAACUAUUGCAAAAGCUAUCCUGUAGCUUAUAAAUGUUCUAUGACAUUUAUCUAGUUGGAAACAGCUUCACAUUUCCCCUGAUUCUCUCAUUUAAUUGCGGACUUGGCAGGGGGGAGAAAGUAAAUAAUGGGGAAAAGUAAUUAAAGUACAGGGGAUAAAGAGUGAAGCAUGUAAGAGCAGCUUGAAAGCAGGAGACUAUUUAUAAUUACAGGGUAGAGACAAUGACCGGUAGAGAAGGGAGGGAAGCACAAAAAAUUUCAAAGUAAAAUGAAAGGUAAAUAAAUAAGAAAUGACUGGUUUUUAUUUUAUUUUAUUUUAUUUUAUUUUACUUCACUUCACUUCACUUCACUUUACUUUUGUCUUUUUAGGGCCACACCUGUGGCACAUGGAAGUUCUCAGGCUAGGAGUCAAAUUGGAGCUGUAGCUGCUGGCCUGCAUCACAGCCACAGCAAUGCCAGAUCCGAGCCAUGUCUGCGACCUACACUACAACUCAUGGCAACACCAGAUCCUUAACCCUCUGAAGGCCAGGGAUAGAACCUGCAUCCUCAUGGAUACUAGUUGAAUUUGUUACCACUGAGCCACAACAGGAACUCCUGUUUAUUUUUUAAAAAGGACAACACAUAAAAUCUCUAAGGUAGGAAAAAUCUUGAAAGUUGAUGCUGUUCUUUAAGUAAAAAUGCAUUUAAAUUUUGGCACAGCUACAGCUGUUCCAAAGAGGCUUGACUGGGGAGUCUAAGUUUCUCACCUUCUUGAGAGAGGGUUCCCCCUCAUGACAAGGUUGAAAUGCUUGCUACAACUUUUAGAAACAGAAUCAAAUCCUCACAAGGUACAAAGAAAAAUUUUUUUUAAAAAGUCCUGCAUUGGAGUUUCCGUAGUGGCACAGUGGUUAACGAAUCCGACUAGGAACCACGAGGGUGCGGGUUCAAUCCCUGGCCUUGCUCAGUGGGUUAAGGAUCCAGUGUUGCUGUGACCUGUGGUGUAGGUCGCAGACGCAGCUCGGAUCCCGCGUUUCUGUGGCUCUGGCAUAGGCUGGUGGCUACAGCUCCGAAUAGACUCCUAGCCUGGGAACCUCCAUAUGCCACCAGAGCAGCCCUAGAAAAGGCAAAAAGACAAAAAAAUUAAAAAAAAAAUAAAUAAAUAGUCCUGCAUUUUUCACUAAGACCAAAAUCCUUGCUACUUAUGUGUGGUCUUUGACCCUGGCAAAUUGGGAAUCACCUAAGAGCUUGUUUAAAAUGAAUCAUCUCAGGCCCUAAACUCCCGAGUCUGAAUCUGCAUUUACCAAGAUGCUGGGUUCCUACGAUCCUUAGUUUAAGACACACCAGUCUAAGUAACUGUUAUACGAGAUAAACCGAGUUUCUUUAGGUAUCAUUUAUGACAACUUUCCCUUGUGGUUUGUAUAACUGAAUGACUUUAAUUUCCACUUUUAUUAAGUAUUACUAGUUACUAUAAUUGUACAUGUUUGUCACUGGCAUUAAAAAUUAUGGAAGAAACCGAAUUCAAAGUUAAGAAAAAGUAAACAGACUCCUCUUAAAAUGCAUUUGCGUAGAAACUAUCUCUGGCUUUCAUCAGCACUGAAUGAAAGAGAAACAUGUAGCAGAGUUUCUUCAAGACAAAACAGGAGGCUCUGAUGAUGCUGGUACUGUGUCCUAGAAUUUGAACUUUAUGAUAAUAAGGCCUUGCACAGGAAAAGCCCUGUGGCAUUUCACCUUGUCUUGCUGAGUGCUGAUUGGAGUUAUUCUUUCAAGGAAUCGUUACUCUCAGUAUUUCUAUUACGUUUUCUCAGAAAAUGUUAACGGUCAUUUCACUUUCCUACAGAAAAAAUAUCCCACCAUUUAAUGAGUCAGGGACAUAUCAUUCGGUUUGGUUUCUGUCUGGAGGAGGCAAAGAUUAAAACCAAAGUUUUAACCCAGGAUGUGUUGGGGAGUAGAGGAACUGAUCCGGAGCCAUGGCUGUGGGGAAGAUGAGCACUGGCAGGAAUCCUACGUUAGUACCGAGAUGCUUUCAAGGAGGAAGGCAAAUGAUGGAGCUCAGGUUAGUGACUGUGGAGCCAAGAGAGAAACCCAGGAGCCCUAACUUCAAGGAUUCCCCAUUUCAUUUGGUUUUCCCCAAACCAAAUUUAGAGGGUGAUGAACAGGCCUUGAGGACUUUGGAAAUUAGAUGGAUGGAUCAUCUAAUUUCAAGAAAUGUAGUGAAAGCUUCCAUCUGUCUCAAAUAAGUAUUUCAUCUCGCAUUUUUCUCCUGCCCAUUAAUUUCUCCUUUACAUGCCAAGCAUGAAGUUUGAGGCUAGAAUAUG